rnacentral:rRNA from 1 species
UAAGGAAUAUUGGUCAAUGGACGCAAGUCUGAACCAGCCAUGCCGCGUGAAGGAUUAAGGCCCUCUGGGUUGUAAACUUCUUUUAUAGGGGAAGAAAUGUGACGGUUCUCCGUCACUUGACGGUACCCUGGGAAUAAGCACCGGCUAACUCCGUGCCAGCAGCCGCGGUAAUACGGAGGGUGCAAGCGUUAUCCGGAUUCACUGGGUUUAAAGGGUGCGUAGUUGGGCAGAUAAGUCAGUGGUGAAAUCUUCCGGCUUAACCGGGAAACUGCCGUUGAUACUAUUUGUCUUGAAUAUUGCGGAGGUAAGCGGAAUAUGUCAUGUAGCGGUGAAAUGCUUAGAUAUGACAUAGAACACCAAUUUCGAAGGCAGCUUACUACAUAUAAAUUGACGCUGAGGCACGAAAGCGUGGGGAUCAAACA